AAACUUUCAACAACGGAUCUCUUGGUUCUGGCAUCGAUGAAGAACGCAGCGAAAUGCGAUAAGUAAUGUGAAUUGCAGAAUUCAGUGAAUCAUCGAAUCUUUGAACGCACAUUGCGCCCGCCGGCAUUCCGGCGGGCAUGCCUGUUCGAGCGUCAUUU
rnacentral:rRNA from 2 species